rnacentral:rRNA from 1 species
GACGAACGCUGGCGGCGUGCUUAACACAUGCAAGUCGAACGGAAAGGCCCUGCUUUUGUGGGGUGCUCGAUUGGCGAACGGGUGAGUAACACGUGAGUAACCUGCCCUUGACUUUGGGAUAACUUCAGGAAACUGGGGCUAAUACCGGAUAGGAGCUCCUGCUGCAUGGUGGGGGUUGGAAAGUUUCGGCGGUUGGGGAUGGACUCGCGGCUUAUCAGCUUGUUGGUGGGGUAGUGGCUUACCAAGGCUUUGACGGGUAGCCCGCCUGUGAGGGUGACCGGCCACCUUGGGACUGAGAUACGGCGCAGAAUCCUACGGGAGGCAGCAGUGGGGAAUAUUGCACAAUGGGCGGAAGCCUGAUGCAGAAACGCCGCGUGCGGGAUGACGGCCUUCGGGUUGUAAACAGCUUUCGCCUGUGACGAAGAGUGAGUGACGGUAAUGGGUAAAGAAGCACCGGCUAACUACGUG